CCUUCUUCACCGAGCAAGCAGAGCAGCCACUUCUUCUUCCUCUAUUCCUUCUGCUUGAGCACCAACAUCACACCGUCUCGCUGAUAUCAGCGCCAUAAUCUACCUUCUUCUUUAUUUUAAAUCAAAUUUUCUUAUAACCCUCUUGUUUUAUCUCUACAGUAGAACCUAGAUACAGGAUUUCUAUUUCUUACCUAGGGUUUCAAUUAUAGAGAUGAGCAAGAUAUUCCUUCGAUUAAUCUACAGGAUGAUGCGGAUUAAAAACAAAGCCAUUAGAAGGUGGACCAGCUAAAAAAUUACGUAAGUUUGAAAAACCAUUGGAUUUUGUAUAUUGGUUUCUAUGAAAAGGAAAUGGAAGGGGAUCCCGUGGUCUCUACUUGACCAGCUUUGUUAUUCUGGGAGCUCAGCAUAUUAUUAUGAAUAUGGCAACCACCUUUCUGGAGGAAUCCCUUAUCCACCAAUGCAUUUGUCCGGUGGACCUUCACCAUAUUCCAGCGGAUCUGUGAUGGGACAAGGUGGGAUGUCAGGUGGGAUGUACCAAAUGCCCCCUAUAAUGAUAGUUUUGGUUUGGGUUUGCCAAUGAGUCAUGCUUCUAUGGGCUCAAGGCCAGGGAUAUUUCAAGACGAAAAUCCUCCAAGAAAGUCAGUCAGUAAGCAUUUUUAAAGUUGUUAUGACUCGACACACGACAAUAACUGGACUGGUUCGUUCUCCCAAUCAGCGAACAGCUUCUGUUUUUCUCAACUUUGGUCAUGAAAAAGCUUUUCAAUGAUAAUCUCAAGCCUUACAUUUCUGAUUUCAAGCUUGUGUUAGACCACUUCUGCAUACAUGCCGGUGGAAGAGCCGUUAUUGAUGAAUUGGAGAAGAACCUACAGUUGCUUCCUUUACAUCUGGAGGCUUCUAGAAUGACCCUUCACCGGUUUGGGAACCCCUCUUCGAGUUCCAUCUGGUAUGAAUUGGCUUACGUUGAUGCCAAAGGAAGGAUGAGGUGUAAAGCAAUCUCCUAAAGGUCCCUGGGAAGAUUGCGUUGACAGGUGGUAAAUUCGUAUCUCGACUACCUCAAUGACAUUCACCUUGAAACAAAGGAGGAAACAGAUAAGGAGGUAUCUGUUUUGCAUAAUUCAAAUUAUAUGUUAUCUCUUUGUUUUCUCUUUUUAGUGUCAUGAGUAUGAAUGAAUUAAUGGAUGAGUACAGGAUGUCCUCGUGGUUCUUUGUUAUGGAUCAAACUUAGUAAGUUUUUUUGACUCUUUCUUUAAUCAUUUUUUCUUAGCUGGCUUGCUCAAUUGUAUGAGUCACUUAAAUCGUGCUGCGAGUUUAGCUUUGUACAUAUAGUUAGUGCAGUUUGAACUUUGAUACCAUUAUUGUGUUGUUGGCUAGGUUCUUACUCUCCAGCUAUUUAGUACACACUCUCUCUUAUAUACUAGUAAAAGUUUAAGCUUGAGUGACGCUGCUGAGGACUCUUCGAACUAACAGUUCAAAGAUGACAAGCAGUAGACAUUAAAUUCUCACAUUCUCAAGGCUGGUGCGCAAUGCAUAGUUUUGUAACUGUUAGUAAUAUUAUCACCUCAAGUAUAGUUCAUUAUAUUCAACUGACAUGUUGCAUCUGCAAAUGUAUUUCCAAGGCACAUUUAACUCUGAUAACUUAGUGAUUUAUUCAAAUUGUUGUGACAUAAGAGUAAUGUGCUGACAAUACAAGCGUUUGUUUGCUUUCAGGUUCUGGUUCCGGCACUGCUUUUGCAGAACUCUAGCAAUUUCUGGUGGUGUCUAAUCAUGAUUGAUGAACAACUGAAGAAGAGGGCAUCAGACGAAACAGUAAUCAGGAUUGCUGAGGACAAGCAGAUAUUGAAUUACAUAAAGAAACAAGUGGAUUCAGGUAAUCUUAUCAGAGUCAUCUGCCCAUACUUCGCAGUUAUGAAUCAUCUGAGUUGAACUCACCAUGAACCUAUGUAUCAUUGAACAAACAUAUAUAAUGAUUUGAACAAUAUUUUCUUCCCCUUUUUUUUGUAGAAUGAAUGUUUGAAUGUGUAGUAGAGUGACUUGUAUUGAAUGGAGAAUGAAUGUUUUUU